rnacentral:other from 1 species
CGUCCUCUGCCCUGCGCGACGGCGUGCGCAAACAUACGCCUUGUCCCUUAAUGACGACCACGGGGAUGCAGCGGAAGCCGGGAGUGCAAGUCCGCCUCGCAGCGGGAAGCCCGAAGGCCUCCAGGCAUCCCCACUUGAACCCCGGGUUCAAGGUCGUUUGGCACGCAUCGCCAUGGCGGAGGAUGU